AUAUAGGUCAAGCUACAAAGGGCGCAUGGUGAAUGCCUUGGCAUCAGGAGCCGAUGAAGGACGUGAUAAGCUGCGAUAAGCUUCGGGUAGGCGCACAUAGCCUGAGAUCCGAAGAUCUCCGAAUGAGGAAACUCACAUGGGAAACCCCAUGUAUCAUUAAGUGAAUACAUAACUUAAUGAAGGUAACCCAGGGAACUGAAACAUCUAAGUACCUGGAGGAAGAGAAAGAAAAAUCGAUUUUCUUAGUAGCGGCGAGCGAAAGGGAAAGAGCCCAAACCGGAAACUUGUUUCCGGGGUUGAGGACAUAACAUAAAGAGAAGUAAUGGCUAAUUGAAGAGAACUGGAAAGUUCCACCGUAGAAGGUAAUAGUCCUGUAAAUGAAAGCUAGUAUAAUCGAGUUAUGAUCCAGAGUACCACGAGACACGUGAAACCUUGUGGGAAGCAGGGAGGACCACCUCCCAAGGCUAAAUACUACCUGAUGACCGAUAGUGAAGCAGUACCGUGAGGGAAAGGUGAAAAGAACCCCAGGAGGGGAGUGAAAUAGAACCUGAAACCGUGUGCCUACAACCGCUCAGAGCCCCUUAUGAGGGUGAUGAGGUGCUUUUUGUAGAACGAGCCAACGAGUUACGGUAUGUAGCAAGGUUAAGUACUUAAGGUACGGAGCCGAAGGGAAACCGAGUCUGAAUAGGGCGACUAGUUGCAUGCCGUAGACCCGAAACCGGGUGACCUAUCCAUGGCCAGGUUGAAGCGAGGGUAAAACCUCGUGGAGGACCGAACCACGUUGCUGUUGAAAAAGCAUGGGAUGAGCUGUGGAUAGCGGAGAAAU
rnacentral:rRNA from 1 species